rnacentral:rRNA from 1 species
GACGAACGCUGGCGGCGUGCCUAAUACAUGCAAGUUGAGCGAUGAAGAUUGGUGCUUGCACCAAUUUGAAGAGCAGCGAACGGGUGAGUAACGCGUGGGGAAUCUGCCUUUGAGCGGGGGACAACAUUUGGAAACGAAUGCUAAUACCGCAUAACAACUUUAAACAUAAGUUUUAAGUUUGAAAGAUGCAAUUGCAUCACUCAAAGAUGAUCCCGCGUUGUAUUAGCUAGUUGGUGAGGUAAAGGCUCACCAAGGCGAUGAUACAUAGCCGACCUGAGAGGGUGAUCGGCCACAUUGGGACUGAGACACGGCCCAAACUCCUACGGGGGGCAGCAGUAGGGAAUCUUCGGCAAUGGACGAAAGUCUGACCGAGCAACGCCGCGUGAGUGAAGAAGGUUUUCGGAUCGUAAAACUCUGUUGGUAGAGAAGAACGUUGGUGAGAGUGGAAAGCUCAUCAAGUGACGGUAACUACCCAGAAAGGGACGGCUAACUACGUG